AGAGUUUGAUCCUGGCUCAGAACGAACGCUGGCGGCGUGGAUAAGACAUGCAAGUCGAGCGGGAUUUUUUCUUGUAGCAAUACAGGGAAAAGUCUAGCGGCGAACGGGUGCUUAACACGUGGGCAACCUGCCAAGAAGUGGGGGAUAGCUCGCCGAAAGGCGAAUUAAUACCGCAUGUGAUCAGAGUGGACAUCCAUUCAAAAUCAAAGUCGGGGCAACCUGACGCUUCUUGAGGGGCCCGCGGCCUAUCAGCUAGUUGGUGGGGUAACGGCCCACCAAGGCUUAGACGGGUAGCUGGUCUGAGAGGACGACCAGCCACACUGGGACUGAGACACGGCCCAGACACCUACGGGUGGCAGCAGUCGAGAAUUUUUCUCAAUGGGGGAAACCCUGAAGGAGCGACGCCGCGUGGAGGAUGAAGGUCUUCGGAUUGUAAACUCCUGUCAUUGGGGAACAAUGCGCAAAUAUUAACUGUAUUUGCGUGA
rnacentral:rRNA from 1 species